rnacentral:rRNA from 1 species
CCCUUAGAUGUCCUGGGCCGCACGCGCGCUACACUGACAUGUUCAACAAGCCUCCUAGUUCGACAGGAUUUGGGAAAUCUUUGAACGCAUGUCGUGAUAGGGAUAGAUCAUUGCAAUUAUUGAUCUUGAACGAGGAAUUCCUAGUAAACACGAGUCAUCAGCUCGCAUUGAUUACGUCCCUGCCCUUUGUACACACCGCCCGUCGCACCUACCGAUUGAAUGUUUCGGUGAAGAUUCCGGAUAGGACUUUUUUGAUUUAUUUCAAUUUUGUCUUAAAAGCUAUCUAAACCUCAACAUUUAGAGGAAGGUGAAGUCGUAACA